rnacentral:rRNA from 1 species
CAAUAGCGUAUAUUAAAGUUGUUGCAGUUAAAAAGCUCGUAGUUGAAUUUUUGCUUGCCGCCGAUGUCGGAACUUCCGUACGUUCGGCGGCGUGCAUCCUUGGGUGGAACCUGUGUGGCAUUAGGUUGUCGUGCAGGGGAUGCUCAUCGUUUACUGUGAAAAAAUUAGAGUGUUCAAAGCAGGCUUACGCCGUUGAAUAUAUUAGCAUGGAAUAAUAAGAUAGGACCUUGGUACUAUUUUGUUGGUUUGCGCACCGAGGUAAUGAUUAACAGGGACAGUUGGGGGUAUUCGUAUUCCAUUGUCAGAGGUGAAAUUCUUAGAUUUCUGGAAGACGAACUACUGCGAAAGCAUUUACCAAGGAUGUUUNCAUUA